rnacentral:rRNA from 1 species
CGUACCUUUUGUAUAAUGGGUCAGCGACUUAUAUUCUGUAGCAAGGUUAACCGAAUAGGGGAGCCGAAGGGAAACCGAGUCUUAACUGGGCGUUAAGUUGCAGGGUAUAGACCCGAAACCCGGUGAUCUAGCCAUGGGCAGGUUGAAGGUUGGGUAACACUAACUGGAGGACCGAACCGACUAAUGUUGAAAAAUUAGCGGAUGACUUGUGGCUGGGGGUGAAAGGCCAAUCAAACCGGGAGAUAGCUGGUUCUCCCCGAAAGCUAUUUAGGUAGCGCCUCGUGAAUUCAUCUCCGGGGGUAGAGCACUGUUUCGGCAAGGGGGUCAUCCCGACUUACCAACCCGAUGCAAACUGCGAAUACCGGAGAAUGUUAUCACGGGAGACACACGGCGGGUGCUAACGUCCGUCGUGAAGAGGGAAACAACCCAGACCGCCAGCUAAGGUCCCAAAGUCAUGGUUAAGUGGGAAACGAUGUGGGAAGGCCCAGACAGCCAGGAUGUUGGCUUAGAAGCAGCCAUCAUUUAAAGAAAGCGUAAUAGCUCACUGGUCGAGUCGGCCUGCGCGGAAGAUGUAACGGGGCUAAACCAUGCACCGAAGCUGCGGCAGCGACGCUUAUGCGUUGUUGGGUAGGGGAGCGUUCUGUAAGCCUGUGAAGGUGUGCUGUGAGGCAUGCUGGAGGUAUCAGAAGUGCGAAUGCUGACAUAAGUAACGAUAAAGCGGGUGAAAAGCCCGCUCGCCGGAAGACCAAGGGUUCCUGUCCAACGUUAAUCGGGGCAGGGUGAGUCGACCCCUAAGGCGAGGCCGAAAGGCGUAGUCGAUGGGAAACAGGUUAAUAUUCCUGUACUUGGUGUUACUGCGAAGGGGGGACGGAGAAGGCUAUGUUGGCCGGGCGACGGUUGUCCCGGUUUAAGCGUGUAGGCUGGUUUUCCAGGCAAAUCCGGAAAACCAAGGCUGAGGCGUGAUGACGAGGCACUACGGUGCUGAAGCGACAAAUGCCCUGCUUCCAGGAAAAGCCUCUAAGCAUCAGGUAACAUCAAAUCGUACCCCAAACCGACACAGGUGGUCAGGUAGAGAAUACCAAGGCGCUUGAGAGAACUCGGGUGAAGGAACUAGGCAAAAUGGUGCCGUAACUUCGGGAGAAGGCACGCUGAUAUGUAGGUGAAGCGACUUGCUCGUGGAGCUGAAAUCAGUCGAAGAUACCAGCUGGCUGCAACUGUUUAUUAAAAACACAGCACUGUGCAAACACGAAAGUGGACGUAUACGGUGUGACGCCUGCCCGGUGCCGGAAGGUUAAUUGAUGGGGUUAGCGGCAACGCGAAGCUCUUGAUCGAAGCCCCGGUAAACGGCGGCCGUAACUAUAACGGUCCUAAGGUAGCGAAAUUCCUUGUCGGGUAAGUUCCGACCUGCACGAAUGGCGUAAUGAUGGCCAGGCUGUCUCCACCCGAGACUCAGUGAAAUUGAACUCGCUGUGAAGAUGCAGUGUACCCGCGGCAAGACGGAAAGACCCCGUGAACCUUUACUAUAGCUUGACACUGAACAUUGAGCCUUGAUGUGUAGGAUAGGUGGGAGG